GAAUCAUGUCAGUUGGUGAGAGCGUGGUGCUGAUAACGUCAAGAUUGCAGGUUCAAUUCUUGUAUGAGACA